UCAGGACGAACGCUGGCGGCGUGCCUAAUACAUGCAAGUCGAACGAAACUUUCUUACACCGAAUGCUUGCAUUCACCGUAAGAAGUUGAGUGGCGGACGGGUGAGUAACACGUGGGUAACCUGCCUAAAAGAAGGGGAUAACACUUGGAAACAGGUGCUAAUACCGUAUAUCUCUAAGGAUCGCAUGAUCCUUAGAUGAAAGAUGGUUCUGCUAUCGCUUUUAGAUGGACCCGCGGCGUAUUAACUAGUUGGUGGGGUAACGGCCUACCAAGGUGAUGAUACGUAGCCGAACUGAGAGGUUGAUCGGCCACAUUGGGACUGAGACACGGCCCAAACUCCUACGGGAGGCAGCAGUAGGGAAUCUUCCACAAUGGACGCAAGUCUGAUGGAGCAACGCCGCGUGAGUGAAGAAGGUCUUCGGAUCGUAAAACUCUGUUGUUAGAGAAGAACACGAGUGAGAGUAACUGUUCAUUCGAUGACGGUAUCUAACCAGCAAGUCACGGCUAACUACGUGCCAGCAGCCGCGGUAAUACGUAGGUGGCAAGCGUUGUCCGGAUUUAUUGGGCGUAAAGGGAACGCAGGCGGUCUUUUAAGUCUGAUGUGAAAGCCUUCGGCUUAACCGGAGUAGUGCAUUGGAAACUGGAAGACUUGAGUGCAGAAGAGGAGAGUGGAACUCCAUGUGUAGCGGUGAAAUGCGUAGAUAUAUGGAAGAACACCAGUGGCGAAAGCGGCUCUCUGGUCUGUAACUGACGCUGAGGUUCGAAAGCGUGGGUAGCAAACAGGAUUAGAUACCCUGGUAGUCCACGCCGUAAACGAUGAAUGCUAGGUGUUGGAGGGUUUCCGCCCUUCAGUGCCGCAGCUAACGCAAUAAGCAUUCCG
rnacentral:rRNA from 1 species